rnacentral:lncRNA from 1 species
GGAAUUCAAAGAAAGACUGCCUCUGGAGUUCCUAGUCCAGUGCUACCCAGCAGGGGGCUGCAAGUGGGGCUGUGAUGGCAAGAUGAGAUGGGCUGCAGUUCUCAUAGUGCGGUAGUGCACCAGUAGUUACGCAGUUCACAAUACUUUGGUGUCUUUUUUUGGAAUGCUUUUGAUAGUGGAGAUGGCAUAUGACCUUCUGCGUUUGAGAGCUGAUGCCUCAGGAAUCUCCAGCUAUAAUAUUGGCCAUCAGUCCCUAUUCUCAUAUACAGUACUAUUACCAAGCUAAGAAAAGCCUUAGAGAAAGCUGGCUUUUCUAAGAAGCAAAUCCCAUUGUUAUGUUCGCUAAGACUUCUGGACCCCUGAGGUAUACAAGGGAGUGUCUGAAUUCUUUCAACAUCCUCAAAGGCAUCUAAUUGUUCAGGACAUACUGAGUAUCUGCACUUACAGAAAUCAAGCCUCAAGUGGAACUCCCCUGAAAGCAAGGCACCAGGAAGCCAAGAUUAGUUUUCAGAAAGUAAGUGGUUUUCAUUUUUUGGUUUCUCAAGGACUCUUUCAAGGGCCAAGCAGAUGGCUGGGAGAUCCACAGAAUGGAAACCUGCAGUUCUAAUGGGGACAGAAAAGUGUGUGUAGAGGGGGUUGUUUGUUUGCAGUUUUUUUAGUUAAAUCAUCUCUGUGUUUGAUAGCUAUUUACGCUCUUUUGCAGCUAAAAUGGUAGUGCAUUUUUGUGGACUCUUCCUUUUCAACAAAGGACUGAGGAAAUUGCCACACUAAUUCUCUGAGCUUCCUAGCAGCUCUCAAGCAUAACCAGAAGAGCAAUUCCCAACUUUAAAAUACAAAGGGAAGCAAAAGAAUAAAAGCACGCAGAGAUCAGUUCAGAAAGGCCCUUGAAAACUUGAGGCAGUUACGGCUAUGUUCCCAUAGCAUUUUGAGUGGAUGCUUGGGCCUGUACUCAAGACCACACCAGCCUUAGCUGCCCUAUGGGUCUUUCAUGAGCUCUUAGGAUCGUGUUAAACUUUUGUGCAGCCGGAAGUGUCAGUCAGCCUGCUGUGCAACUGGAUAGACUGCACCUAGGCCUUGGCAGUUUUGACGUGCAUUGGAGGGGCUCUGUACUUCUGCUACUACAAGACAUGAUGACCGCAGGCAGGCAGAGCACGUGGGGCAGCAGCCUGAGCCUAGUGCA